GUGCCAGCCGCCGCGGUAAGACAGAGGGUGCAAACGUUGUUCGGAAUUACUGGGCGUAAAGCGCGUGUAGGCUGCCCCGAAAGUCAGGUGUGAAAGCCCUGGGCUCAACCCAGGAAGUGCACUUGAAACUUCGGUGGCUUGAGUUCUGGAGAGGAUGGCGGAAUUCUCGGUGUAGAGGUGAAAUUCGUAGAUAUCGAGAGGAACACCGGUGGCGAAGGCGGCUAUCUGGACAGUGACUGACGCUGAGACGCGAAAGCGUGGGGAGCAAACAGGAUUAGAUACCCGCGUAGUCC
rnacentral:rRNA from 1 species